AUUUUGAUAUAUUUUCUACUUUGUAGAGGUUAUUUAAUUUGCACCAACGGGUAAUAUUAAUCCUGGUGGUUGAAUAAUUUUUAUCUGUUGUAGGUCAUAACACACAAGAUUACAUUUUAUCAAGGGCCGGACUUUCGUGAACAUCAAUCUGCAUCCUUUAUGAAAGUCAUUUAUGGCAUGAACGAUUCUCUCUUCCAUCUCGUGCUAUCAUCAGAAAUAUCCAAAUCACUUCGACUAAAAAACGUAUCAACAAUCAGGGCUUGUCUAGAUAUCGAACGUUUUUCGUGUUACUGAUACCCACGCAAAGACAAGAUUACAUACGUCAUCUCUAAUUCCAUUAAAAAGAAAUAAUGAUGAAAUGAAGCAGAUGUGUAUAUAAGACUCAUUCUCGAGAAAUCCCACCAGAGUGCGAGACUGCUCACACGUACGUGACCAUGAAGCUGUUGCUCGUUCUUUGUCUUCUGGCUUCUACCCUCUCGGUGUUCUCAUCGACAAAUCACAGUCUUUUGAACCUCCCAUCAAUUCCAUCUACAUCUGCAUCUCUAUCAAACCAUCCAGUAGUUAACUGGAAAAAAUCGUCGUUAGCUUGUCGACUUCCGACAAAGCACUGCUUAAACAGAUAUUCACCUGUGUGUGGCACCGAUGGUCAAACUUACCAAAGCUUGUGCAUGUUGCGCAUAACGAAAAAGUAUUGCAGAAAAUAUCAGCUUCAGAUGGCCAAAGUGGGACCCUGCCAUCGGCGUUCUGUGUAAGAGAAGGUUUGACCUGACCUCCAUCUGGCGACAGAUUUGAAGACCGUGACCUUUGAGUACCGACUCUCCCAACAUUGUUAACCGGCUUUACCUUGCUUUUGAAUGAUGUAAUGUUUUAUGUUAUUUAUUGUAUGUGACUGGGCAGUGAACCGACUGAAACAUACCAUUGUUUAAAUUUCAAUAAUUAUGGUUGUAUAGUCAUUGAUAUUCAACCACCUGCGACCUGUCAUGGAUGUUAUUUUUCUGCUUUUUUUAAAAAACAGUGUUUACCAACAGAUCAUCUAGAUGCCGCAAAAUUAAUUGCGUAAGGUUUUGCAUUUCUUUGCGUUCGGGUCAGUUAUCUACAAUGAUAGCUCUGUAAGGUUGUCACCGCAAUAAAGAAUGUUUUAUUAGUUUA